GACAUGUGUGGGUCGCUAUUCGCUUGUCUCCACAGCACUUGUGUUUCUUUCCUAGCCUCUUUUGAAUCCUUUCCUUUUCCUGAGCACCUUCCAAACUGAAAUCACACACAAUUCACACAAACAAACACACAAACAAGGAUAGUUCACACAAUUUAUUAAAAACAUUCACACAUAUAUACAAAGGAUACUCUUGAGAUUUCCUCCCAAGUGAGCUUGUUUUAAG
rnacentral:lncRNA from 1 species